GAUUCUCAGCAAAAGGACUCUAAGGAUGCAGAGGAAGGGAAGUCACCCAAUCUGGGAAGGAGGUUUUUAUUAAGUAUAAAAACAGGUCAUCCACACAUAGCAAUGUGCUUUUCUAGAGAAAACCAUCCUACUCACCGAGAGCCAGGAUUGAGAUGAUGCCUUAAGAAACACCCACUCCCCGUGAGGGAUGUUACCAAGAAGUCAAGAACCACCAGUAACUUUGAAAAGUCCAGAUUACUCAGUCUCGGGUAUGUGUAUCAGCAAUGUGAAAACGGACUAGUACAUCUCUAGAGGCACAUGCCAUGUGGUCCAGCCAUAAUUAUUUGUUGUCACAACUAAGUUUCCUUUCUAUAUGAAAAGAUUAUAUUGAUCAGAAUUCUAA
rnacentral:lncRNA from 10 species